rnacentral:rRNA from 1 species
GAGUUUGAUCAUGGCUCAGAACGUACGCUGGCGGCACGCCUAACACAUGCAAGUCGAACGAAGUAGCAAUACUUAGUGGCAGACGGGUGAGUAACAUGUAGGUAUCUGCCCUUUGGCCUGGAAUAACACGAGGAAACUUGUGCUAAUACCGGAUAAGUCUUUACGGAGAAAGCUUUAUGCACCAUUGGGUGAGCCUGCACUUGAUUAGUUUGUUGGUGGGGUAAUGGCCUACCAAGACUGUGAUCAAUAGCUGAUUUGAGAGGAUGAUCAGCCACAUUGGGACUGAGACACGGCCCAAACUCCUACGGGAGGCAGCAGUGGGGAAUCUUGCACAAUGGAGGAAACUCUGAUGCAGCGAUGCCGCGUGAGUGAAGAAGGCCCUUGGGUUGUAAAGCUCUUUCGUCGGGGAAGAAAAUGACUGUACCCGAAUAAGAAGGUCCGGCUAACUUCGUGCCAGCAGCCGCGGUAAUACGAAGGGACCUAGCGUAGUUCGGAAUUACUGGGCUUAAAGAGUUCGUAGGUGGUUGAAAAAGUUAGUGGUGAAAUCCCAGAGCUUAACUCUGGAACUGCCAUUAAAACUUUUCAGCUAGAGUAUGAUAGAGGAAAGCAGAAUUUCUAGUGUAGAGGUGAAAUUCGUAGAUAUUAGAAAGAAUACCAAUUGCGAAGGCAGCUUUCUGGAUCAUUACUGACACUGAGGAACGAAAGCAUGGGUAGCGAAGAGGAUUAGAUACCCUCGUAGUCCAUGCCGUAAACGAUGUGUGUUAGACGUUGGAAAUUUACUUUCAGUGUCGCAGGGAAACCGAUAAACACACCGCCUGGGGAGUACGACCGCAAGGUUAAAACUCAAAUGAAUUGACGGGGACCCGCACAAGUAGUGGAGCAUGUGGUUUAAUUCGAAGAUACGCGCAGAACCUUACCAACACUUGACAUGUUCGUCGCGACUCUAAGAGAUUAGAGUUUUCGGUUCGGCCGGACGAAACACAGGUGCUGCAUGGCUGUCGUCAGCUCGUGUCGUGAGAUGUUGGGUUAAGUCCCGCAACGAGCGCAACCCUCACUUUUAGUUGCCAUCAUUAAGUUGGGCACUCUGAAAGAACUGCCAGUGAUAAGCUGGAGGAAGGUGGGGAUGACGUCAAGUCCUCAUGGCCCUUACGUGUUGGGCUACACACGUGCUACAAUGGUAUCUACAACAGGAAGCAAGACUGCGAAGUUAAGCAAAUCCCUAAAAGAUACCUCAGUUCGGAUUGCACUCUGCAACUCGAGUGCAUGAAGCUGGAAUUACUAGUAAUCGUGGAUCAGCGUGCCACGGUGAAUGCGUUCCCGGGUCUUGUACACACCGCCCGUCACACCAUGGGAGUUGGUUUUACCUUAAGGCAAGGUUUCAAACCCUUGACCACGGUAUAGUCAGCGACUGGGGUGAAGUCGUAACAAGGUAACC